rnacentral:rRNA from 1 species
CCCGCUCAGAAACUCAAAUGAAUUGACGGGGCCCGCACAAGCGGUGGAGUAUGUGGUUUAAUCGAUGCAACGCGAAGAACCUUACCUGGUCUUGACAUCCCGGAGACCCUUAGGAAACUAGGGGGUGCCUUCCAUCUGGAAGAAUCUGGAGACAGGUGCUGCAUGGCUGUCGUCAGCUCGUGUCGUGAGAUGUUGGGUUAAGUCCCGCAACGAGCGCAACCCUUGCCUUUAGUUGCCAGCAGUUCGGCUGGGCACUCUAAAGGGACUGCCGGUGUUAAACCGGAGGAAGGUGGGGAUGACGUCAAGUCCUCAUGGCCUUUAUGACCAGGGCUACACACGUACUACAAUGGCCGAUACAAAGGGCAGCGACACUGCGAGGUGAAGCCAAUCCCGUAAAAUCGGUCUCAGUCCGGAUUGGAGUCUGCAACUCGACUCCAUGAAGUUGGAAUCGCUAGUAAUCGUGGAUCAGCAUGCCACGGUGAAUACGUUCCCGGGCCUU